ACCCGCUGAACUUAAGCAUAUCAAUAAGCGGAGGAAAAGAAACCAACAGGGAUUGCCUCAGUAACGGCGAGUGAAGCGGCAAGAGCUCAAAUUUAAAAGCCGACGUAGCUUUAAGAGACGUCCGCAUUGUAAUUUGAAGAGGCAUUCUCGGGUCGGGGCUCAGGCCUAAGUUCCUUGGAAGAGGGCGUCGUGGAGGGUGAGAACCCCGUUCGCGGCCUGCUGUCGACCUUUCCCCGAUCCACACGAGGUGCCAUCGAAGAGUCGAGUUGUUUGGGAAUGCAGCUCAAAGCGGGUGGUAAAUUCCAUCUAAAGCUAAAUAUUGACGGGAGACCGAUAGCGAACAAGUAGAGUGAUCGAAAGAUGAAAAGCACUUUUGAAAGAGAGUUAAACAGCACGUGAAAUUGUUGAAAGGGAAGCGCUUGAGACCAGUCACGGACCGAGGCGAUCAGUGGGACGUCCCUCUCGGGGGAGGAACCGCGCACUCGCUUUUCGGGUUUUCCGGGUCAACAUCGGUUGGGACGGUGUCAGAAAGGUCGCGGGAACGUGGCUCCCUUCACGGGGAGUGUUAUAGCCCGUGGCGUCAAAGUCGCCAGUUUCGACCGAGGACCGCGCUCGUCUUUUUCGAGCAAGGAUGUUGACGUAAUGGUCCC
rnacentral:rRNA from 1 species